AUGCCUGUUUGGGUUGUCAUCUCAACAAUCCUUCCAACAGUAUUUGGAUAUGCUCUCCUUAAAUUCCAAUAUGUGGUUUCUAUAAUUGACAUGUAUGCCUGUUUGGAUCAUCUCAACAAUCCUUGCAGCAGUAAUGAGUUUUUUCUUGGUGUGUCUGUUUUUCGCUGGCCGAGUGAGCAUGCGUGUGUGUUGUGUGCUGUCCGGGUGUGCGUGCAUGCACCGGCCGGUUGUGCUGGUGCUAAUCCUCUCUCCAAGUUGAUUCCAAGGGCACUGUACUAUUCCUUCUCCUUUGAUUGCAGGUGCACAAAACAUCGGCCACCACCAGGAGCUAGGCGGCAGUGGACUGGAGAAUUUUUCUCUGUUAAUUCCAUCUCUCUCUCUCAAUAUGUUUCUCUCUCUACUCUCUGUGUUAACUCUCUUUGCUAA
rnacentral:rRNA from 1 species